UACGAAGGGGGCUAGCGUUGCUCGGAAUGACUGGGCGUAAAGGGCGCGUAGGCGGAUUGUACAGUCAGGCGUGAAAUUCCCGGGCUCAACCUGGGGGCUGCGCUUGAGACGUGCGAUCUUGAGUGGGGAAGAGGGUCGUGGAAUUCCCAGUGUAGAGGUGAAAUUCGUAGAUAUUCGCAAGAACACCAGUGGCGAAGGCGGCUCACUGGCCCGGUACUGACGCUGAGGUGCGAAAGCGUGGGGAGCAAACAGG
rnacentral:rRNA from 1 species